rnacentral:rRNA from 1 species
ACAUGCCUACAACAUAGAUUUAAUGCACCAAAUCCCAUUAGAACUCCACAAUUAAGCACACUCAGGCUAGAGUAUUACUGGGAUGGAUGACCGCCAAAGAAGUCCUAGUGUUUUACAUGCU